GUCUCACUCUGUCACCAGGCUGGAGUGCAGUGGCAUGAUCUCAGUUUACCGCAACCUCUGCCUCCUGGGUUUAAGCGAUUCUCCUGCCUUAGCCUCCCAAGUAGCUGGGACUACAGGCGCGCACCACCACGCCCAGGUAAGUUUUGUAUUUUUAGUAUAGUAGAGACGGGGUUUCACCAUGUUGGCCAGGAUGGUCUUGAUCUCUUGACCUUGUGAUCCACCUGCCUCAGCCUCCCAAAGUGCUGGGAUUACAGGCGUGAGCCACCGCGCCUGGCCAAGCUCUGGUUAUUUUCUUACAUAGGAAAAAACCUAUCGCUGACUUAGCAACCAAAGCCUCCAUCGUUAGGCAAGGAAUAAAAUAAAACCAGCACGCUUUUUCCACUGUGAUUUUUAAAAGUCAUUAAAAAAUAUCUUUUCCCUUAUGUACAGAAAAAUUGGAACAGAAAAAUAUCUAACUUGCUGAGCAUUUGAUGGGAAAAAGUAAAAGAUAACUUCCAUUUGGUACACAACUUAUUGUACAUAGAGCUAUGAUUUGAGGAGGCAUCUAAUUUCUGAACAAAUUCACCAAGAAAUACCAUCACUUAAAGUCAUUAUCGCAAUCAUGCUGCAGUGAACACUCUAUACAAAAUGGCCAGGUCAUUAAACAUCAAAGAUGGAAAACAAGCCAGCAAUCUCUUCUGUUCUCUUCAAAGUGAAUGCAAAAUGUGCAUGUUUAUCCAUCUGUAAAUGGCUUAGAGAUCCUAAAUCUCUCAAUAUUACUGGAACCAGCUGCUUUGAAAUGCCAAAGGGAAGGAGGAUGUUUCCCAAGGCCCCCAUCAAUGGACUGUGCUGUAGGUAACUGUGCUGACAUCAUGGUGAGUUCUACCUUUGCCCUUGGAGCCCUGAUUGCUGUUUUCCACAGUCAGUUAACUGCCUCAGUUGGUUUCUUGAAUUGUGCUAAAUUUUGAUCACAGCCAGCCCCAUAUAUUUGUCCUGAGUCGGGGAGCAUGAGCACAGGCAGGGGACAGGAAGGUGUGGCCAGCACCUUCUCCUCUCACCUCAUUAACAGAACCCAUCUUGGCUCCCUGCCUCUGCUUCCAGUCACACUGCCCCUGCUGAGUGAGCAGCUGUGCUCUGUUGACCUCCCGGCUACUUAGCUAAAGGGCAAUCAUUCCUUUCAAACCUCCUUCUUUUCCCCUCUCAAGUCCUCAAUAAUCCCUGAACCACCUGAGCAUGUUCCUUCAUGUUCCAUCUGGAGGGAAAUGGUCACCCGCCCUUACGUAAAACAUUGAAGAUACAUGAUCAGGAGAGCUAUCCCAGGUGUCCCAGGCAGGCCCCGAGGACAAAGAGUAGGACCACAUCUUAGGACUGUGCCUUGCACACCCUCCCCAGGCGCACCCUCCCCAGGAUCCCCAUGAUCCCAAUUUUUCAUCUCCACUCGGCAAACUAUGCUUAGAAGGCUGACUGUGCACACAGUGCCCACAAAGGAGCUGUGAGCUGCCAUAUUGGCCUUUAAUCAAGAUUUUCUUGUUUUUUUUUUGUGGGCCUGAGUCAUCUCUGCACAUAAGCCUUUUGCUCUCCCUAAGCUCACAAGUAAUGAGGGUGUGGACACUCCUGGCCCAGCCUAACACUGGCUCCUGGUGAAUAAACCCAAGAGGGUGUGGCCCCUUGGGCACCCUCUUACCCUCUCCUCCUUAAUCUGAAGCUUCACGCCGGCCUGGGUCUCCCUACCCAUCUUCGAAGCCCAGGCAGUCCGAGACGGUGCCUCUGCCUUGUGUGGAAACAUCUUUGUUAGUGUCACUCCUCUGCUCAGCAUCCCCUUGUUCAUUCCAUCUCCCUCCAGUGAAUUCACAGAAGGAAUGUUUAUGAAUCAGAGCAACUCCUAUCUUCGAAAAAUAUUCACUCAUUCAUUUAACAAACAUUUAUUGAGUGACUGUAUUAUGCCAGGCACUGUGCACUGUCCUAGGCACUUGAUAACACCCAAGCCUAAGAUACACCAAUUUACCUUAGAAGACCAUAUUCUCUGAUUUUGCCCCUCUUCCAAAACACGGCACUGACAGAGCCCAGAACAUUCCAGAAUUGGAAGGGACUUUCUAAAUCAUUUAAAUCAUCUGGCCAUUUUACAGACCAGCAAGCCUAGGAGCAAAGCCUAGGUCUUCAAGGCUAGGAAUCUUUGUGCUUCCUUGUUUACUGUCUCUUCUACUCAUUUGGAAAGCAAUGCUCUGUGUGACCUGGGGCAAGCCCCUUCCUCUCUCUGGGUCUCAACUUUCUUCCUGUAAAAUGGUGAAAUUGGGUGAAAGAGUCCUUAACGCUGCAUCUAAGACUUUCUGGAUCUCAUUGCAUACUGCUUUUAAACACUCUUGGGGUUCAUGGUGUAUUUCCACUUACAUGUGUUAUAUCUUCCCAACAAGGACAUAUGUUCUGUGUGGUCGGGGGAGAGGAGGGAAGGGCCAUUUAACAUCCCGGGUUACCCACAGCACUACAUACACAUUGCUGUUUACAUUGUGGGAGUUCAACUGCUUUUAGUUGACUGAACUGGAGGAGAGCAUACUGUUUUUUGUUUUUUGUUUUUUUUUCUGAGAUGUAGUCUCACUCUGUUGCCCAGGCUGGAGUACGGUGGCGCAAUCUCUGCUCACUGCAACCUCCACCUCCCGGGUUCAGGCAAUUCUCCUGCCUCAGCCUCCUGAAUAGUGGGGACUACAGGCGUGCACUACCACGUCCAGUUAAUUUUUUAGUAGAGAUGGGGUUUCACCAUGUUGGCCAGGGUGGUCUCGAUCUCCUGACCUCGUGAUCCACCUACCUUGGCCUCCCAAAGUGCUGGGAUUACAGGUGUGAGCCACAGUGCCUGGGUGAUCACAUGUUUUUUAAAACAUUAGGCCACAAACGAGCAAAAGACUAUUCUGAUAUCAUACAUCACUACUUAAAUGAGUCAAACAAAAGCCCUGGUCACAAGAAAUCCUGAAUGUAGAAUACUGCCAUCUCUGAUUGAAAAAAAUAGCAAUACCAUUCUAUUCUACAGAUUUCUACUUUCUCUGUUAUUUGGGCUCAAAUAUAAAUGUAUUUAUGUAUGUAUAUUUCAUAGCUAGGAUCAAUUAUUAGUUAGAAGCAUAGGCUUUGAAGCAUUAAUGAGUCCAAUUUUUUUUUUUCAGAUGGAGUUUUGCUCUCGUUGCCCAAGCUGGAGUGCAAUGGUGCAAUCUCGGCUCACCGCAACUUCUGCCUCCUGGGUUCAAGCGAUCCUCCUGCCUCAGCCUCCCGAGUAGCUGGGAUUACAGGUGUGUGCUACCACGCCUGGCUAAUUUUUUGUAUUUUUAUUAGAAAUGGGUUUCACCAUGUUAGCCAGGCUGGUCUCGAACUCCUGACCUUAGAUGAUCUGCCCACCUUGGCCUCCCAAACUGCUGGGAUUACAGGUUUGAGCCACCGUGCCUGGCCAAGUCCAAAUUUUUUAUACUUCUUUAAGAAAAUGUGUGGCCAGGUGCAGUGGCCUGAGAUUACAGGGGUGAGCCUGUAAUCCCAGCACUUUGGGAAGCCAAGGCAGGAGGACUGCUUAAGCUCAGGAGUCUGAGAACAGCCUGGGCAACAAAGUGAGACGUUGUCUCUACAAAAAAUUAAAAUAUGAGUGGGGCGUUGUGGUGUGUGCCUGUAGUCCCAGCUACUCAGGUGGCUGAGGUGGGAGGAUUGCUUGAGCCCAAGAAGUUGAGGCUGUAGUGAGCUAUGAUCAUGCCGCUGCAUUCUAGCCUGAGCGACAAAGUGAGACCCUGUCUCAAACAAACAAAAGAAAAUUUGCAUCUGACUGCUCUUAACUACACAAGGGAAUCAGGCUUAACAACACGCUCAGCAGCUGUGUGACUAUGGCCAAUUUGCUUAAGCUCUGUGCUUCAGUUUCCUACUGCAUAGAAUUGGUAUUAAAUGAAUUACAUUGGAUUAAAUGAGUCAAUAUUUAUAAAGUCCCUAACACAAUGCCUGGCACAUGAAAACUGCUGUUUCACUGUCUGUUAAAGAAAAUAACACACAUACAUGUGCUAACCCUUACAACUGGGGCACAAUUGGGAAUGAAAAUAUAAUUUCAAAUAUUUACAUAAUUCAUGAAUUCCCAAUACUUUCACUGAUGGUGACAAAAGCUAGAGUUUAGUAAUGUCAGACAUAAUUUUUAUAUACACAUAUAUGGUAGGUAAUGUUUUCCACAGAGUGUGAAAAGGAGAUUUCCCAUGGCUAUGGAUGCAGGGUGGAGAGUUAAUUGCAAGGAUCACAAGUGAUAGUAAUCAUCAAAGCCACACAUACAGGGUUCAGAGACUAGUUAGGUCUUCUUGUGUCUUUGGUACGUACUUAAUGUGCAGUUGACUGUGGACUGUCUGCUAAUGAAGGAAAUCAAUACCAGGGAUAAUGGUGAUGUAAGGAUUAGAAUCAUCUACAUGCAGCGAAUUAGUUCCUUAAUGAUGGAGGGUUCCUGGCACUACCUAGAGGUCAAAGCUCCUCUUGCUCAUGCUUUACAGACUGUGGCAAAAUCCCAGGGACCCUUUCUGAGGCACAUUAUGGGCUCAGGUCAGUAGCAUCUAUGACAUGGAAAGAUCAAAAAAGAAUAUUCCAGGGGGUCAGGACACCACCCAAUCAUAAACCAACAAACCCAAGGCUGGGACCAUCCUUGGUUUAAUUCUUCUGGCUCCUAGCUGCCUUGAAGCGGGCACCAGCCCUCACCUCUGUUUCUGAACACUGAGCUACAGGCCAAACCUAUGGACUUCUUUCCUUUAAACCUACUCAGGAGGGUAGGUCCUGAAUCCUGCAGGAGAGCUGGGCUGUUGUCACCUCCUUCCUCUGGCUAUCUUGGCAGCAAAGCCAAACCAAACACCAGCUACUUACUAACCUGGGCCUGGGGUGGGAGCUGUCCCAGCACAAGCAACAACUUAGCAGCUUCACUCACCACACAAUCGUCGAUGAUUUCUGCCAGGCGUGUCCGGUGUUUCCGCCCCAGCCGCAUGAUCUUUUUCCACGUGUAGUAGUACUCCACGCACUGAGCCACCGUCUUGGACUUCACCUGCCGGGAAAGCGAACUCAAGGUUAGCUCCAGCAAUGGGCAGAGAGCAAAGGUAGCAAGCAUUUUUGAAUAUUUAAUUUUGUAAUAGGGUAAUAAACAAGUUUGUACAGUUCAAGAAAAAAAUGUACCUGGUGAAAGGCCUCCUUCACACGCCUGUCCUUACCCCUCACCCUGCAACACAGGUAGCCCCUUGCAUUAAUUUCUUUGGCUACCAUUCCAGAUUUUUUUUUUUUUUUUGAGACGGAGUCUUGCUCUGUCGCCCAGGCUGGAGUGCAGUGGCGCAAUCUCGGAUCACUGCAACCUCUGCCUCCCAGGUUCACACCAUUCUCCUGCCUCAGCCUCCCGAGUAGCUGGGACUACAGGCAUCCGCCACCAUGCCCGGCUAAUUUUUUGUAUUUUUAGUAGAGACGGGGUUUCAUUGUGUUAGCCAGGAUGGUCU
rnacentral:lncRNA from 10 species